rnacentral:rRNA from 1 species
UGGGGAAUAUUGGACAAUGGGCGCAAGCCUGAUCCAGCCAUACCGCGUGGGUGAAGAAGGCCUUCGGGUUGUAAAGCCCUUUUGUUGGGAAAGAAAAGCAUUCGGUUAAUACCCGAUUGUUCUGACGGUACCCAAAGAAUAAGCACCGGCUAACUUCGUGCCAGCAGCCGCGGUAAUACGAAGGGUGCAAGCGUUACUCGGAAUUACUGGGCGUAAAGCGUGCGUAGGUGGUUGUUUAAGUCUGUCGUGAAAGCCCUGGCUCAACCUGGGAAUUGCGAUGGAAACUGGGCGACUAGAGUGUGGCAGAGGGUAGUGGAAUUCCUGGUGUAGCAGUGAAAUGCGUAGAGAUCAGGAGGAACAUCCGUGGCGAAGGCGACUGCCUGGGCCAACACUGACACUGAGGCACGAAAGCGUGGGGAGCAAACAGGAUUAGAUACCCUGGUAGUCCACGCCCUAAACGAUGCGAACUGGAUGUUGGGUGCAAUUUGGCACGCAGUAUCGAAGCUAACGCGUUAAGUUCGCCGCCUGGGGAGUACGGUCGCAAGACUGAAACUU